rnacentral:rRNA from 1 species
AGAGUUUGAUCAUGGCUCAGAGCGAACGCUGGCGGCAGGCCUAACACAUGCAAGUCGAGCGCCGUAGCAAUACGGAGCGGCAGACGGGAGAGUAACACGUGGGAACGUGCCCUUCAGUUCGGAACAACCCAGGGAAACUUGGGCUAAUACCGGAUACGUCCGUAAGGAGAAAGAUUUAUCGCUGAAGGAUCGGCCCGCGUCUGAUUAGCUAGUUGGUGAGGUAACGGCUCACCAAGGCGACGAUCAGUAGCUGGUCUGAGAGGAUGAUCAGCCUCACUGGGACUGAGACACGGCCCAGACUCCUACGGGAGGCAGCAGUGGGGAAUAUUGGACAAUGGGCGCAAGCCUGAUCCAGCCAUGCCGCGUGGAUGAUGAAGGCCCUAGGGUUGUAAAGUCCUUUCGGCGGGGAAGAUAAUGACGGUACCCGCAGAAGAAGCCCCGGCUAACUUCGUGCCAGCAGCCGCGGUAAUACGAAGGGGGCUAGCGUUGCUCGGAAUCACUGGGCGUAAAGCGCGCGUAGGCGGCUUUUUAAGUCAGGGGUGAAAUCCUGGAGCUCAACUCCAGAACUGCCUUUGAUACUGAGAAGCUUGAGACCGGGAGAGGUGAGUGGAACUGCGAGUGUAGAGGUGAAAUUCGUAGAUAUUCGCAAGAACACCAGUGGCGAAGGCGGCUCACUGGCCCGGUACUGACGCUGAGGUGCGAAAGCGUGGGGAGCAAACAGGAUUAGAUACCCCAGUAGUCC